GCAACUUCCUCCGGUGCUGGCACGAACGCGAGAACUCCCCGCUCGAGGUCGUCGUCGUCAACGACAGCGGAGGCGUCAGGAACGCAUCACACCUUCUCAAGUACGACUCGAUGCUCGGCACCUUCAAGGCCGACGUCAAGAUCGUCGACGACCAGACCAUCAGCGUCGACGGCAAGCUGAUCAAGGUCGUCUCCAACAGGGACCCCCUCAAGCUGCCAUGGGCUGAGCUCGGCA
rnacentral:misc_RNA from 1 species